UUUUGUAUCUUUGAGGUUCAUAAUUGUCUCUGUGGGAUUGGCAGCACUUUCAAUAACAGCUGUGACAGUCAACAUGUGGACAAAAACUAAAGGGAAAAAAACACAGAUGGAUAAAAACACAGUACAUUAUGAUAGAGAUGAAGAUGUUCCAGUCAACUAUGAAAAUGUGGGAAACUCUGCUGUUUCAAUCAGACUGCACUGAUCAACAACUUGCUGAUAAAAUCACUGCUGUUAUAUUAUCAGAAUCAUCUCAUCUGGUUUUACACAUUAAAUAUCUUAGAUAUGAUUAGUCCAUUUUGGCUUCCAUGUUAAUCUAUGUUAUGUCUAUGUUAAUGUAUUCAGAGCUGUCAGCCCUUCUGUGACUGAAUGAUGGCUGUCGGAUACUCUGGCUGCUGCUCGCCUCCGGCUGGAUGCUGCAGCAUGACAAAUUCAUGACCAGGUUCAUCCUGGGAUUUAACAUAAUGAAGAGCAGCCGAAGCCAGUUACGCUUCACUAAUGCUGGGGUUAUUACUUGUUAAAACCAUAUCUUCCUGAAUGCAGUCAUGUCAUUUAAACCAACUGUGUGUGUGUGUGUGUGUGUGUGUGUGUGUGUGUGUGUGUGUUUCAUGGUAUUUUUGCUUUAGUCUGAUUAAAGAUGUUUUUUAUGUCCUAACUAUCUUGUAUUUUGUCCAAUGUACAUUUAUAACAUGUCUUUAAUGAUCUUUAGAAUCUGUAUAAAUAUUCUGUUUCGUUUAUGAUAAUUUGAUCUCAAUAUUAAAACAAAUUUCUAUCCAGUUUCAGUGUUUGC